AUCAAUGUGAUGAAAAAUCGUGUUUCGAUGAAAAUAGCAACCGAAUUUUCUAUUUAGUUCAUAGGAAGUUUUUCUUUUCCUUUUACCUAGAGACACUACACUCAUGAUUCAUGAACAAACGAGAUAAUUUGAAAAAAAGAAACAAAAUUUUACUGUGUAGAAAAAAGACAUCCCAAAAAGAUAAAAAUGGAUACCCGAGCAACAAGAGCUUAUCAACACUUUCAACAAAUGAAAACCGAAUAGACAAACACAGUUAUUUACUAAAAACACACAAUAAAGAAUCCACAACACAGUAAACAGAUAAAAACUGUUUCAAAGCACUCCAGAUCAUAUGCUGGAGCUCCUCACAGAACUAAACAGCUAAUUAUGAACCAUAAAGGUACAAUCAGAAGCUCUUUAGUUGGAAGCCAUAGGCCGAGUGCUGAACACCUUAGAAAUCUUUUCAGUCGGCACCAAUGGAAGAUAUGAUGCAACCUUGUACCCUUUCUCCGCUGAUUGCUGAACAAUCUCAUUGUACUUUCCAGAAUAGUAAGCAGCUGUUGGAGCAACUGCUUGAGUAACUUUAGGAACGACCGGAAGUCGGUUAAGAGAGAGCCAAGCUGAAGCUGCAUAUUGCUCGGCCAUUGGCUCGUACUUGGUGUAAAGUCCCUUGGCAGCAGGCUCAUACUUGGCAUAAACUGUUUUUGCAAGUCCUGAUGCAGCUCCUAUCACACCAGCACUUUUGACGUCAGCUGCAACAGAGCGAGCUGUUGCAGGAGCCUGCUUGACCAUAGGGGGAACACGAGUCUCAAUCUUACGAACAGACUCAUCAACCUGCAAAAUGUUUGUCAAAUUCACGUGAAUCACAUAUGUCAACAAGGGAUGGAUCAUCAAAACUACAAUCCAAUCAAAUAGAAAGCAAUCUCAUGAAAGAGAUGGGGAAAAUUAAUAUGUUUGUAAUAACAAACUGGAACAUUUCAAGGAAGUGUAGGAUCAAUUGACAAAUGAAAUUUAACUACAAGAAAUACGACUACCAAAUUUUAUGGGGCACCAUGUUUCAAUCACAUACUAUUUUCAGAAAACCUGAAAGCUGUUACAUAUAAUAUUCAUCAGCCUAGAUUACUGUCUCUUCGUUGGCUGACCAACAUUGAAAUUGAUACAUACAAAAGCCACAAUAAUGAUAAAAGGAGAAGCAACAUGCACCCAACAGAAAAAACAUCACCACCACAAACACAGUGCAUCAACGUGUGAAAACAUCCAAUUUUCAUUUAAAAAUAUAAGAAAAAGAAUAUAGCGUGCAGUUCUUCCAUAUGAACACAUCAAACAAGGAAAACAAUUAAUUGACAAUGUUUAACCUAUCAAAGCAUACCCAACAUGAUUAUUGUAGCAUUUCAUAAACUUCAUCAAAUAAAAAAACUUACAAAAUUAUUGAAUAGACUGAUUCAAUAACUGCGAAACAGAUAAAUUCUGAAUUUCUAUUUCAAAAAUGCGAAUCUAGUAUAGAGCAAGCAAUCGAUCCCAUUUAAAAAAAUGGUCAAUGCAUAGAGACAUCCUGAAGCUAAUUAAUGUAUAAUCCCAAUUAUGAUAUCAUAAUAAUACAAAAGCAGAAUUUCUAUCUCAAAAAGUGGAAUCCAGUAAUUAAUCCAAAUCCAUGAUAGGUAAAACGAUAAGAAUAAAACUCAUGUCAAUUGUGCAAAGAAAUAUACCUUGCGGUCAACAAACUUGAGGACCUCGACAGGAACGUCAUGAAAUUUAUCAUACACUGGGCCAACUACGGUCUUAACAGUGCCUUCGACGGUCUGAACGCCAGGCUUCAGGGGACCAGAAUUCUCUUUGGCGUAACCAUACACCUUCGCUACAUAGAGCGCCGCAUGAAUCAUCGCCACUUGCAAAAAUUCCAAAUACUUCAAUUUCUCUUCCUCCGUCUGAGCCUUCAAAUCACAAAAUCAAACCCAAAAAAUAAAAUUAGACCAAGAAAAGCAAAAUUACAACAAAGUCGAUACAAACAAGGAAACAAAUGAAUUAAAAAAAACCAAUACGAAUGCUUGAAAUUGGAAUUACCAUCUCCGGCAGUUGAGGCUUAGGGUUUGAUUCGGCCAUUAUAAAAGAUCAAAGUGAUUCGGUAUGAAUGAAGAGUCGGAAAUUGUGAAUGAAUGCAAACGAGGAAAGGAUGAGAAGUUUUUGCGUUUAGGUUUGGUGCGAUGGACAAUAUAUAUACAAAGGGAGUCACACAGCGGCACGCAUGUCAAGGAGAGUGGACGG
rnacentral:lncRNA from 1 species